CACUAAUAUUGUAAGGACCUAUUGCGGCGUAAGUCACGCGUGUACCGCAAUAGGUCAUUGUGUGUGACGGGGGGGUAACGCCUUUGGCAGUAUAUCACCAUGCGUACUACUGUCCUGGCGGGUCGCCCGCCAAUUGGACCAAUUAAACCUUUUUGUCAUUGCAAUCAGGCGUCAUGAAAAACAAUGUAAUAAUUA
rnacentral:misc_RNA from 1 species